rnacentral:rRNA from 1 species
AACGAACGCUGGCGGCAGGCUUAACACAUGCAAGUCGAACGAGAAACCAUCUUCGGAUGGCGGAAAGUGGCAAACGGGUGAGUAACACGUGGGAAUGUACCUUUUGGUUCGGGACAACAGUUGGAAACGACUGCUAAUACCGGAUAAGCUCUACGGAGGAAAGAUUUAUCGCCGAAAGAUCAGCCCGCGGCAGAUUAGCUUGUUGGUAAGGUAAUGGCUUACCAAGGCUACGAUCUGUAGCUGGUCUGAGAGGAUGAUCAGCCACACUGGGACUUAGAUACGGCCCAGACUCCUACGGGAGGCAGCAGUGGGGGAAUAUUGCGCAAUGGACGAAAGUCUGACGCAGCCAUGCCGCGUGAGUGAAGAAGGCCUUAGGGUUGUAAAGCUCUUUCAAUAAGGAAGAUAAUGACGGUACUUAUAGAAGAAGCCCCGGCUAACUCCGUGCCAGCAGCCGCGGUAAU